AUUGAACGCUGGCGGCAUGCUUUACACAUGCAAGUCGAACGGCAGCGCGGGGGCGAACCCUGGCGGGCGAGUGGCGAACGGGUGAGUAAUGCAUCGGAACGUAUCCUGUAAUGGGGGAUAACGUAGCGAAAGUUACGCUAAUACCGCAUACGCUCGAGAGAGGAAAGUGGGGGAGUCGCAAAGACCUCACGUUAUAGGAGCGGCCGAUGCCGAUUAGCUAGUUGGUGGGGUAAAGGCCUACCAAGGCGACGAUCGGUAGCUGGUCUGAGAGGAUGAUCAGCCACACUGGGACUGAGACACGGCCCAGACUCCUACGGGAGGCAGCAGUGGGGAAUUUUGGACAAUGGGCGAAAGCCUGAUCCAGCCAUGCCGCGUGCGGGAAGAAGGCCUUCGGGUUGUAAACCG
rnacentral:rRNA from 1 species